GCUGCUGCUGGCCGGGACACAUGGAGGACCGGAACUGGAAGUGUCGUGCACGGAGCGGAAAGGAGCGAGAAAGAGCGGGCUGCAGGCUCUGGUGCCGGCUACAGGAGUUGGGAACUGGGGUGCACGGAGCAGGAAGUUUUGUGAAAGAGCCAGGACAAGUGUGAAUAAGGUCCCGGAAGCAAGGUGCAGGACGCUGAAGGUCGAUGUUACUGGCUGGUGGAGAGACUGCACUGUGAACGAGGAGCAGGUGAAGUGCCGGAAGCCAGGUGCACAUCAGCAAGUGGGACGGAGGUGCACUGAGCCUGAGCGACUGCAAGGGAAGAAGACACUGGAGAGAGAAGGGAGGAGGUGAAGUGGUGCCGCAGUAGAGUGCCCUCGUAGAUAAGUAUUAGCGUUCCUACUUUAUUGUAUAAGUGAUUGUUUUUCUUCUUUUUUCUCUCCCCUUGUCCUUGAUUGAAUUACCAAUUUCUGUUCUGUUGUGAAUAUUGUUUCUAUUCACAGCUAGACCAUAGUACAGUAUUGUAUUGCAUAGUUUGUAUUGUUUGUAUUGUUUUUCAGAAGGUAAUAGGGAGUUAGAGUCAUCAAUUAAACGGGUGGGGCUGUGAUUGAGAAUCUCACUCAGUGCAUGUCAUGUAUGAUGUAUGCGCACCGAAAUGCGCGAGAUGUGUGCGAAUGGCUGCCCUGGAAGCCCAGGUAACCGAUCUAGAGCAGACCAUUACAAGACUGAGAGAUAUUCACAAACUCAAGUAAAGCUUAGAUAGAACAGUGGAGGAGUUGCAGGGACACACACCGGCAGUUGAGGACAACCAGGUAUCCAGCUGAGUCACAGUUAGAAGGAAGAAAAAGAGGGGGAGGCACGACAUCUCUGAACUACCAAACCCCAAUAAAUUCACCCGAUUGGACAAAGAUUCGGUGGAUGGUAGUGAAGAAAUGACGGAGCUGGAGCAGACUGUUCUCCCUAGCAACCGGAGGAGCAGUCCCUCUGACACAGAUGGGACAAAAAAAAGAGAGGUACCUAGUCAGAUUGUGGUGCUAGGGGAUUCUAUUAUCAGGACGACAGAUAGGCCAAUUUGCUACCAGGAUCGUGAUCGCUGUACAGUCUGUUGUCUCCCAGGUGCUCGGGUAUGGCACAUCGCUGACCGGGUAGAAAGAUUGUUGGGUGGGGCUGAGAAUGACCCGGCAGUCUUGAUGCACGUUGGCACCAACGACAAAGUUAGUGGAUAGGUGGGAUGUCCCUAAAGAAGAUUAUAGGGAUUUAGGCUAGAAACUAAAGGCAAGGACAUCUAAGAUAAUAUUCUCAGAAAUAUUACCUGUGCCACAGGCAGCAACACCGCCAGCGCAGAAAGUGAUCGCAGCGCUGAUCGCAUGAAGACUGACAGGCGGAAGGCGUUCCAGGGCGUCAACUGACCGUUUUCCAGGCGUGGUGAGGCGAACGCAGGCGGAUCCAGGCGUUUGGAGGGCGGAUGUCUGACAUCGAUUCCGGGACCUUUGGCGCUGGAUCCGUCUCACAGGACAGGGACAGCUCGAUGGCCAUUUGAGUGGAGUGGCGGGACACAUGACUGAUUUGGCAGAGGACCUCCAGUUCAGAAGCGGACCUCAGACAGUGAGACAUGGGACAAAGAUCCGCAGGCCCGCAGCUUGGGUGUCACAAAGAAGAGCAGCCCGUAGUAGCAGGACAAAUGUUGCACAGGAGGAUGCUGCUGCUACUACAGUCCCAUCCAGGCCACACCUUAGUCCGCAAAUGCGCACAGGACAACCAACAUCCAGCCGCAAACACGUGGCGUUGAAAAGACCACGGCCAGAUCUCCCGAGGGCCACAUCUGCAUCUCCCCCUCACAGACGCAUCUCUACUGUGUCCUCAAGGCCACCAUCACAAUUACUGGCACCUUCCCCAACACGGGAAGCAGAAUCCCCUCAUCUGGC